rnacentral:tRNA from 1 species
GUCUCGGUAGUUCAAAAGAUAAGAGCACGGUGCAGAUUAGCACAAGUGUGGGUUCGAGUCCCAUCCGAGGCC